GCCGACGGUAGCGUGGCAUUGGGCGCUGGCGCCCAAGUCGUCGCAGGUGCUUACGGCAGUAUCGCCUUGGGUGCCGGCUCCAUCGCCGAUC
rnacentral:tRNA from 1 species